rnacentral:lncRNA from 12 species
CCAUUAUUUGCUAGAAUUUCUUUCCUUUUCUUUCUCUUUUCUUUCCUUUCCCCCAUUCCCCUUCUGGGUAUAAAGCCUUCCAUUUUGCAUAGCUCCCUUUCUGCUUGCUAGAUGAGAUUCGGUCCAGUUCAGGAAUUGUUGAAUGAAGCCAAGUAGAUCUUCAAAUUUACUUUGUUCUUUAACAGUACCAAACAAGGAUAUGAUUGGGUAGGAUCCUCAGGAGAGUCACUGAUCCAUUUCAUGCCUCCAAGUAUAACUGAAACCAAAGUACAACCACACCAAGUGUUGCAUUGUAGAAAAAUGGUCAGAUGAAAAAAAAGAAAGAAAGAAAGAAAGAAAGAAAAAUGGUCAGAUGGUUAUCUCUACUACCUGAAUUACUGAGAUGAGAAGUUCUCAGUAAAGAAAUCUGAAUCUCCUUCAGUUUUUUUUUUUUUUUUUUGACUGCAGGCCAGAUGAAGAAGCAGUAGCAUAUUCUCCUCCAUAAUCACUGAAAAAAAAAUAGCAAAUCUUAAAUAAAGGAAAAUGUGAGACCUGAAAUCUUUUUGAUCUGCUUUAUGAUCCAGAAUAUGCUUGAAAUCCAUCAGUUGAGCAUUUACUGGACUCCAAAGGUGUAUAGUCAUAAGAAAAGAACUGCUGUAAAAAGAAUAGAAUCUGUCAGAGUUUAAUAUAUAAAGGUAAG